rnacentral:misc_RNA from 1 species
GGGUUUCAGUAGCACCUUCACUCCAGCAGUCUUCACGUCCUCCAGCGUGAGGCCUAAAGGUGUUCUGAGUAGUAGUUUGGUUCUCCAUACAAGAGAGAAAAUCGGCGACCGACUCCGAUUCAGGCGUGAUCGGUAUUUGAAGUUUGCAAGAGAGAGAGCAGGGUGCUAAGGUGGAUCGGAGGUGAGGGGGAGAAACAUCGGGGGAAU